AGCGAACGCUGGCGGCAGGCUUAACACAUGCAAGUCGAGCGGCCGUAGCAAUACGGCAGCGGCAGACGGGAGAGUAACACGUGGGAACGUACCCUUUAGUACGGAACAACCAAGGGAAACUUUGGCUAAUACCGUAUACGUCCGUAAGGAGAAAGAUUUAUCGCUGAAGGAUCGGCCCGCGUCUGAUUAGCUAGUUGGUGAGGUAACGGCUCACCAAGGCGACGAUCAGUAGCUGGUCUGAGAGGAUGAUCAGCCUCACUGGGACUGAGACACGGCCCAGACUCCUACGGGAGGCAGCAGUGGGGAAUAUUGGACAAUGGGCGCAAGCCUGAUCCAGCCAUGCCGCGUGGAUGAUGAAGGCCCUAGGGUUGUAAAGUCCUUUUAACGGGGAAGAUAAUGACGGUACCCGUAGAAUAAGCCCCGGCUAACUUCGUGCCAGCCGCCGCCGUAA
rnacentral:rRNA from 1 species